rnacentral:rRNA from 1 species
ACGGGUGAGUAAUGUCUGGGAAACUGCCUGAUGAGGGGGAUAACUACUGGAAACGGUAGCUAAUACCGCAUAACGUCGCAAGACCAAAGAGGGGGACCUUCGGGCCUCUUGCCAUCGGAUGUGCCCAGAUGGGAUUAGCUAGUAGGUGGGGUAACGGCUCACCUAGGCGACGAUCCCUAGCUGGUCUGAGAGGAUGACCAGCCACACUGGAACUGAGACACGGUCCAGACUCCUACGGGAAGCAGCAUG